AGGCCAGUAGUUCAGCUGGUAGAGCGUCGGUCUCCAAAACCGAAUGUCGGGGGUUCGAAUCCCUCCUGGCCUGCCA
rnacentral:tRNA from 9 species